rnacentral:misc_RNA from 1 species
CUAUUUGGGAGUUUUAUUUUGAAAAUCCACUCUUUUUCCGGCUCCCUGGGAACAUCCUGUAACCAUCUGGGGGUUUUAUUUUGAAAAUCCAGCAUCUUUCAGGCUUCCUGGGAACAUUCUGUAACUAUUUGGGAGUUUUAUUUUGAAAAUCCACUCUUUUUCCGGCUCCCUGGGAACAUCCUGUAACCAUCUGGGGGUUUUAUUUUGAAAAUCCAGCAUCUUUCAGGCUU